rnacentral:rRNA from 1 species
UAAUACGUAGGUGGCAAGCGUUAUCCGGAAUUAUUGGGCGUAAAGCGCGCGCAGGUGGUUUCUUAAGUCUGAUGUGAAAGCCCACGGCUCAACCGUGGAGGGUCAUUGGAAACUGGGAGACUUGAGUGCAGAAGAGGAAAGUGGAAUUCCAUGUGUAGCGGUGAAAUGCGUAGAGAUAUGGAGGAACACCAGUGGCGAAGGCGACUUUCUGGUCUGUAACUGACACUGAGGCGCGAAAGCGUGGGGAGCAAACAGGAUUAGAUACCCUGGUAGUCCACGCCGUAAACGAUGAGUGCUAAGUGUUAGAGGGUUUCCGCCCUUUAGUGCUGAAGUUAACGCAUUAAGCACUCCGCCUGGGGAGUACGGCCGCAAGGCUGAAACUCAAAGGAAUUGACGG